rnacentral:rRNA from 1 species
AGUGAACGCUGGCGGUAGGCCUAACACAUGCAAGUCGAACGGCAGCACAGUAAGAGCUUGCUCUUACGGGUGGCGAGGGGCGGACGGGUGAGGAAUACAUCGGAAUCUACUUUUUCGUGGGGGAUAACGUAGGGAAACGUACGCUAAUACCGCAGACGACCUACGGGGGAAAGCAGGGGAUCGUCGGACCUUGAGCGAUGGAAGGAGCCGAGGUCGGAUUAGCUAGUUGGCGGGGUAAAGGCCCACCAAGGCGACGAUCCGUAGCUGGUCUGAGAGGAUGAUCCGCCCCACUGGCCCUCCGCCCCGGUCCCGCCUCCUCCGGUCGGCAGCCGUGUGGCCUCUUGGACAAUGGGCGCCAUCCUGCUCCAGCCAUACCGCGUGGGUGACGCAUGCCUUCGGGUUGUACAGCCCUUUUGUUGGGACAGAAAAGCCGCCGGUUAAUCCCCCGCUGUUCUGCCGGUACCCAAAGAAUACGCACCGGCUAACUUCGUG